CUUAAAUUUAUAUUUUUAUAAAUGCUACCAGUACAUACAACUUAUUGCUACACUUAUGUUUCUCAGAAGUAAGAUUUUUUUAAUAAUGCAUAGGCGGGACGAUGUACUUUAUUACUUCAUCGUAAUCAUUCGCAAACCUUAUUCCAAUUUCAUUAAAUAGAUAUAAAAAUAAUUGAAUGUCUGCGGGCUUUUGUGGAUGUUUGUUAUUGAACAAAUGAAUAGAAGGCAAUUCUAACCUAACCCAAAGAAGAAUUUCACAGGACAUCAUUCUUUAAUGAAUAAAUACUGUGUAGCCAGAACAAUGAAGCCUUUGAAGACAGCAUGAUCACUGCAGUGUCAUUUUUUUAUUUACAUCACAAUUUGAAUGCAUGUUACACCUACUUCGAAACAGGACUUGAAAGUUUUAAUACUAUUUUAGCAAGAAUUUAAAAAAGACGUCCAUGCAUACCGACAUACCCUAUUCCACUCCUAGCAGCAAAUAUGCCUCCUUAAGUAAUAAGGGAAUCCUAAUGCCAUUAAAGGGGCUCGAAAUGUUGAAAUACAUUAACACUGAGUAUUGAAUGAGCAAUUGGAUGACUAUGUAACAUUAUACAGGUAUUUAAAUAACACCCAGAAUAAAAAAAGGAAAUUUGGGAAA